ACCUGCAGCUUGUCCAUAUCUCCUCAAAUUCCUAUUUUGAAACAUUAACUCCAAAGGUACUAGGAGGUGAGGCAUGGGGAAGUGAUGAGGUCAUGAGCAUGGAGCCUCACGAAUGGGAUCAGUGCCCUCAUAAAAUGCACCCCAGAGAGCUCCCUCGCCCCUUCCACCAUUUGAAGACACAGUGAGAAGGUGCCGUCUGUGAACCAGGAAGCCCUCACCAGACACUGAAACUGCCACACCUUGGUCUUGGACCUCCAGCCUCCAGAACUUGAGACGUCUUCAGUGUCAAAGCAGUACCAGCAUAUUCUCCUCACGGAAUAUUUGGAGAGAAGCCAAUUCCUGUUCGAGGAGCAGCUGCAACUAAGGACGUGACAUGGCUUACCGUCAAUGCUUACCAGAUGCUAUGAUACAGCAUCUAUGUUUCUGUCAUGUGAUACAGGAAACAUCCACAGACUCCUUUAAAAAUAGAAAUUCAUGGGUUUAAGGUUAUGCCUGUUAGAAGCAGUAGAAGCGUGAACAUGUUAGUUCACACGUGUUAGAAUAAUUCUGGCAACGUGUUCAUAUUGAUGCUAUCAGGGCUCAUUAAAAUUUGCUAGUACACCUAUAAACACACUCAAAUAUCCAACAAGAUUAGGAUAGUCUGUAGUUUACAGACAUCAUUCUGAUAGUUCCACAACAUUUAACCAAUGGCAACAUGUGUGCAGGUAUGUGCAUGGAAGACAUGUUCAAACGCUAAUUGAAAGAGAUUUUUCUUCCACAGAAUUAUAUAAUAGAUAAGAAAGUGGCUUCCCUAAGAAGGGAAGAGGUUACAGGAAGGCAGGAAAAAACAGGAACUGGGAGAAGGAGGGAAGAAGCACAUUUAUUUGAUUUAUAAGGCUUUAAAGCAAAAUAAUUGGCAAGUCAUAUAAUUGGCUAGAGAGAUUGGGUCUUGCCAGUGAUUAAUUAGGACCUGUCUUUGUGUGAAUCACCUGGUUUCCUGCCAAAGAUGAAGAUGAAACAUUUCCAUGAGCAGGCAAUUCAGUCUGAGUGUGUCUAAUGUUAUUUUCAGAUGAGGAGACUCCAUGUGCAUGGUUGCAGCAGGCAUUCUUGGGAGCUCAUGAGCUGAAUUUCAGGAAAAGCCCAAGAAGAUUCCACAUUUCCCUCAGGAUAUCCUCAGGAAAAUGUCCGCAGGCCUGGAAACACUUAGCCAUCACUUGCUUACUUGAGAGAAGUCAAAAAGGAUUAUGGAAACAGAUUGGAAUGUCGAACCACAUUUAUAAAUGUUCCUAAGCUGUUUCCAUUAACCAAAAAAGAUGCUGAAUAAACAGAAAAAAAAAAAGAUCAGGCUGGGAAAUAUCACUAGGACUGGCCCCCCACAAAGGAGGAAAAUGGCUGUGAAUAUUUAGUGGAAGAGAAAAUGGUACACAAUGACAACCAAGGGAGUGAAGAAGAUAACUUGUCAAAGGGAAGUGUUAGAAAAUUAACUUUCUUAGAGGGCUGAAAUAAAACAGAUAUGAAAAAGAAAAAAAAAAGUAAGUCCUUAAUCCAUUUUAUUUUGAUUGUUGUAUAUGGUAAGAGACAGGGGUCUAGUUUUAUUCUUCCAUAUGUGGAUAUCCAGUUUUCCCAGCACCAUUUAUUGAAGAGAUUGUCUUUUCCUCAAAGUAUGUUUGUGGCACCUUUGUGAAAAAUGAGUUCGCUUUAGAUCUGUGGAUUUAUUUCUGGGUGCUCUAGUCUGUUCCAUUGGUCUGUGUGUCUGGUUUUAUAUCGGUACCUUGCUGUUUUGGUUACUAUAGCUCUGUAGGAAAUUUUGAAGUACUCCAUAAAUACAUUAAAAAAAAUCCAACCGAGG
rnacentral:lncRNA from 1 species